CAUUAGACUUGUAGGAUGCAAAACAAUGUCAUAAUUAAUUUCCCAAAGUUUAGGUGAAAGUGAGAGGAGUUAGUAGUCUUGCCAAGAGAGGGAAACUACCGAGCUGCCAAAUUACUAUUGAGAGGAGUCGCUGAGAGAAACUCUGAUGGGCGCUGUCUUCAAUUAACGUGGAUAUCCUGGAGAGUUAGCUUCACGAGUUAGCUGGCUAGCAUCGCAAUUUAGAUGUGAAACUGUCAAGUACUGUGUCACUUUUAUUUCCGAGAGUCGUUAAACAAAAACCAGUCAGGAUAUUGUGUGUGAGUAAGGUAUUGAGUAUGUUGUGGUUGAUAGUGAUGAGCUUUUUAGCCGCCAACAUUAUCGGCGUAAUUGAGGCCAAGAAGCUAAGUGCUACAUUCAUAGCUGCUGCUGUAGCUCAGGUUGGUUUGUUUUCAGGGAACAUACAACCGCAGUCCAGACCCUCGCUGCUCGUGGGUGCAGCGGUUUCACUUGGAUGCCGAUGUGUGCCGUUCCAAGGGGGCGGUAGGAAGCAUGAAGCCUGGAAUUUGACUGAGAGGAUUUAAUUUCAUCUGCACUUGUUUUCCCCUGAGAUCUGUGGGGGGUCUUUGGUCACAACACAGACUUUGACAACUGAUACCACCGUUUAAAGGAACACAGACCAAUGUUGUGAAGCAGCUUAGAAUGGAACAAUUAAGUUGACAUUUGUUGACAUUUAUUUCAUAUUAAAUCUCAAGUGACGAAAUUCCAACUUUUAAGGGGCAAAGACUGUAAACUGAAAAGACUGAGUAGUACACUUCAUUUUGUUGUAUGGACAAUUCAAUUGAGUUAUUCAAUUUCCAAUGUUUGUGAGAUUGGAAUGUGUCCUGUUUGUACAUUAUAGCUGGAAGGUGAGUUAAAUUGAGGUGUUCAAGUUGAAGUUAUAUGAUUUGCGGAUAAUGUAUGUAAGGAAACGGAAAUGAACAGAACUCCUUGACAACAUAUAUAAAUGUUUUAUAUCUUCCAUGAA